UACGUAGGGGGCGAGCGUUGUCCGGAUUCAUUGGGCGUAAAGAGCUCGUAGGCGGCUUGGCAAGUCGGGUGUGAAAACUCCAGGCUCAACCUGGAGAUGCCACCCGAUACUGCUAUGGCUUGAGUUCGGUAGGGGACCACGGAAUUCCUGGUGUAGCGGUGAAAUGCGCAGAUAUCAGGAGGAACACCGGUGGCGAAGGCGACUUCCUGGCCUGUUCUUGACGCUGAGGCGCGAAAGCUAGGGGAGCAAACGGG
rnacentral:rRNA from 1 species